CAAUUGCUCAUAUCACAAGCUCUACUGACGCCUCUUUGCGUUUUCUCUGGACAGUUUGUUCAAUCCAUAAUGUCCGAUAAGCCGGCCGGGUGUUACAGAUAGAAGGGUGUUACAGAUAGAAGUCUCGUGCAGAGAGACUCCAGCCCUCGCUGCGGUUCUGCCAUUCGAGUCUUCGUUUUCUGAAGAGGAAGCGAAGUAGCCUGUUUAGUGAAGAGAGAAUCAAGGUCUUCACUCUGCCUCUUGAAAGAAAGGAGCUAACCUGUCGCCUAGCAACACCUCCCACUCCUGCUGAAGCCAGAGGAAGAGAAGAGCGGAAGAGGAAGAAUUGAAGCUGUCUAUGAAACCGAUAAGAGAAACCGAGUCAGGCUUGUGCUAAUGAGGCUGCAGAGAGGCGGACAGCUGCUCAGUAGGGUUCCAGUCUAUCCCGUGGUUAGAUGAGUCAAAGAUCGGAAGGGUGGGUGGACGGGUUAAGCAGGGCACGUGAGUGAGACUUUCCAUUUGGCGGAAAACGAUGCAUAGCAGAGAAAUGCCAUGAAAACAUCCCAGCGGGAAGGCAAACAUAUGUGGGUCAGGAGCCAGAAUUUUAUGGUCUUAUCAAAUUUAUUAUAAAUCCAAGAUCGAAAUACAACAACGGCAGCAUGGUAUAAAAAAAAACUACGCAAAGUAACAUGAGCAUUAUUGAUGGUGGUGGUGGUGGUGGGGUAGAGGUUUGGAAUGACUGAGUGGUUACCGAAUAACAACAAUGAAUAGAAACAAUACUGAACGCAGAGAUAGAUUAUACAUAGUGGAAAAUUAAAAGAGGCUUUUUGACACUAAGAACAUACAGAGAUACUUUUUACAGCCUUGAUAUUGUUACUACAUUUAUUUGAAUAGGAGGGAUUAAUUAUAAUUGCUGACAUCUGAACUGGAAGAUCAAACCAAUGGAAAGAGUCUGCAGAGCUGCAGCCCUUAUCUUGAGAAAGAGGCUAUUUUUAGAAAUGACAAAAGACAGUUUACAUUGGUUGUACAGCAGGUUUGGAAUCGCACUCUCAGGAAAAAAAGGUACAAAAGCUGUCACUGGGGCAGUACCUUUUCAAAAGCCACACCUUUGUACCUAAAGAGUCCUUAUUGGUAUCUUAAAGAUACAUAUAAGCACCUAAUGUGUACAUAUUAGUACCUAAAAGGUACAAAAGUGUACCUUUUGAAAAGGUACCACCCUAGUGACCGCUUUUGUACCUUUUUUUUUUUCUGCAUAGUGCAGGUAGCAACUUUGCCAUUUUCCAUAUGACACAAUAUAGUGGGUUAUCUUGCUGACAUUUUGUCCUUAAAAUAUAGUGCCUGUCUCUAAUAGCCUUUUUAUUAUUUAUGUAGAGGUUUUAUAAGUUGGUACAUCUCUCAUGAAAAUGACUUCUCUACAAUUUUGGUAAUGAUGUCUGUCAGUUGGCAGACAUAUCCAGCUCAUAAGCCCUCCUUGUUGGAUGACUCAAUCAGUGCUCUUCCACCCCCUUUUUCCCUCUCUGGGCAUCUCUACAUCUC